CUCAAAUUUGUGAUCCUGCUCCCUCAGCUUCCCAAGUGCUAAUAUUACAGAUAUAUACCAAGGCUAUAGUUUAGAACCCCUGAGACCUGAAUUUGAACCCUUGGAUCUUUCACACCAGUUAUGUGACCUGGACCUCAAACUUGUACUGAACAUUUCUGAGCUUCAGUUGCUGGAUCUGAAACAUAAGAAGGUGGUACCUCAUAAAGCUGUGUGAGGACUGAUUAGAACUUUCAUGCAACAAAUAUUUAUUGAAUGCAUUUUCUGUGUAAAAGUUUUAGGAAUACAAAGAAGAAGAGAAAGACCUAUCCCCUCCUCAGAGGUCACAUCUCUGUGCUAGAUGUCUAACAGAGUAGCUAUGCAAUAAAUGUAGCUUCUCCUUUGCCAAGGAAGUGGGAGAGCCUCCUGGGGAAAGGAAUUGACCCAAAACUACAGGAUCAAACUUGGGACCUUGUGCUUGCGAGGCAGGUGACGGCACUGGGUUGAUACUUUGAAGUUGCUUAUUUGAGAAUGACUGUCUGGAAUGGUGUCUGGGAACUUCUGAAAGCUCCCCAAGAGAGACCAACUCUCAGCCGAGGCUCAGGACCACGGCUCUGGGGAUAGUGUGUGCAUCCCACAGUAUGG
rnacentral:lncRNA from 1 species